GAAUUAUUAACUGAAUUUUUCAGUUUAAUAAUGUUGUUCUAGCUUGUCAGUUGUUUUUUAUUGUUUGUUGGUAUGUUUAACAAGUCAUAAAAUGUAUACACCUUCCUGUCUCUUGUGUGUGUGUGGAGGUGUAUUUGAUCACGUUUAGAAUAAAAUACAGAACCACAAACUAAAUUUUCCGGUUCAAUAGCAGACACACUAUACUUUCUGAGGCGCUUUCUACAAAAAGUAGGUACAAAAUAAAAUUUUGUUUGAUUUUUAAAUGAACGUGUAAUGUACAAAAGUAACAAUCUGAAAUCCUAAGUCCUACAUACAUUGGUGAGCUCCUUGCCGCCUUUUCUUUUCUUUUUUUUUUUUUAAGUUUUAUAGAUUUAUGUAUUAAUAUUUGGCCUUGAAAACAUACACAGAACUAUAGCUUCUCUUCAAGUCUUUUGAAUUUGAGGUUGGAUGGAUUGUUUAGAGUGGUCUUUAUAACUUUUAUUUGGGGGUGGACUAAAGGUUUUACCCAAUUCUCCCUAUUGAUAUCCCCUAGGCCAGACCACACUUACUUACAUGCUCUUUUGGCUACAGGCGCUAGAAUCCUUAUUUAUUUAUUUGUUUACUUACUUACUUACUUAUUUAAAAAGUUUAUUUAUUUUGAGAGAGGGAGAGAGAGUGCACUCACAAGUGGGGGAAAGGCAGAGAGAGAGAGAGAGAGAGAGCGAGCGCAAGAAUCACAAGCAGGCUCCACGCUGUCGAUGCAGAGCCUGAUGUGGGGCUCAGACUCAUGAACCAUGAGAUCGUGACCUGAGCUGAAACCAAGAGCCAGAUGCUUAACCCACUGAGACCCCCAGGUGCCCACAGAAUCCCAAUUCAAGUGAGGUUAGAAAAAAAAGUCAGUUUCCCAACAAUAAAGGAUUGUUUGCUCCACUUUCUCUGAGUAUCAACCUCCUUCUUCUCUCUCGUUGCAAGCAUUCUUUCAACACAUGAGAGAAACUUGACCUCUGAUAGCUCCUGAGCUUUGCAGCUGACCAAGUUGGCCACCUGCAGAGAAGCCACCUCAACUCUCUGGGCCCUAGGUCCAAGACCAGUGGGAAAACCCUCUCUGGGCCACAAGGUCUAGACACAGCAACUGUGAUAGGAGGAGGAGAGACGUGUGUGUGACGUUGUGUCAUAACUGGAGAUCCUGAGAGAACAAUCUGGAUAGGAUGACGGGAAAUUGUUCUCAGAAGAAGGAGGCAAUUCUGAGAAAAGAAUUACAUGUGAGCCUACCAUGGUAUUAUUGGAAAGAAAUGUGAGAGAAUGGGACUAAACGAUGAAUAAGGAACUAAUGUUGGACAUUUUAUGUGAGGGAAAGGGAGAAAAGAAGGUCAGGAGAUUUCCCUGAGAAAGUAAGGAAACAUGAGAAACUUUAGCCAAGACAAAGUGGGACAUAACCAAAACGUUGACAGAUGUUACACCCCGUUUACUUUCAAACACUUCAGUAAAAAACAAAUAGAUGCAACAGAGAUGGCAAGAUGUUAAUAUUAAAACUGGGCAAUGAGUAUAUAGAUGUUUUCUAAAGAGUGGCUCUCGGGGUGCCUGGGAGGCUCAGUCUAAGCAUCCGACUUUGGCUCAGGUCAUGAUCUCACAGGUUCAUGAGUUCGAGGCCCACAUUGGGUUCUGUGCUGAUGGCUCAGAGCCUGGAGCCUGCUUCCGAAUCUGUGUCUCCCUCUCUCUCUGCCCCUCCCCCACUCGCAUUCUGUCUCUCUCAAAAACAAAUAUUAAAAAAAGUAAAGUUUUGUCUGUUAAGUCUGAUAUUUGGGCUUCCUCAAGAACUAUUAACUUUUUUCUUCCUAUGAAUGGUUCUUUCUUUCACGUGUGACUUUGUAAUCUUUUCAUUGAAAACUUAAUAUUUUGAAUAUUCUCAUGUGGCAACUUUGGAAAUCACUUUUUCCCUCUCUCUCCAUGACGUGUUGUUGCUGUUUGUUGUAGCUGUUGUUGCUUGUUUUUUAAAUGACUUUUCUGAACUAAUUUUCAAAGUCUAUUCUUUGUCAUGUGUGGUCACUUAAGUUUCUGUUCCAUUAGUUUACUAGUCAGCUAGUGGUCAGGCAGAGAGUUCUUUUAAUCCCUGGAGUAAAAAAAAAAAAAGAAAAAAAAAAGCCCCCUAAAAACUCUCUCCAGUCUUUUCAGGUGGGCUCUGCGUUGUGGCACUCCUCGAUACUUGGCCGGGCCAUUUACUUCCUGCUUGCAUGGAGCUUGAAGGUCAGCCAAUGAGAAGAUCUUUGAAUCUUCUCGGGUCUUUUCUGAGCAUCUAUCCAGCCCAGGCAUGCAUGGAGUCUUCUAGUUCUCUGGAUUAAAUGGGAGCCUCUCAAAGCCCUUAUUCCCUGAAAUACGCCCUUCUCCAGCCUCUUUCUUCCCAGCAUUUUGGCUUUUCUGUCGCUUGCCCUAAUUGUUACCCUUUGCCACAGAUGGCAGCCGCUUAUACAUUUGCAGAUGUCACCCAGGAAACUGCCUUGGAGCUGAGGCGUGUGAAACAAAGGCAAGUCCUUGAGCAGAUCCUUCAAGGAGCUUACGGGGAGCUUCAGGGAGCUACUUAGGCCAAAACGUGGAUCCACGGUUCUUUGAGGUAAGAUAAGAUUGGUUCUGGUCCCUCCGGUACCAGUAACCUGCACCAGGAAAAUGGACUUCUGUCUUCAAGUCUGUAGCUGCGUUGGAGAUGGUAACAAGAUUCUAGAGUUCUGAAAAACGUCAUCGUGACAAUUCUUGCCAGCUUGUUCACUGCCUUUAUGAAGGGAUGAAGGUUUGGAGUUGUCUACUCUGCUGUUUUCAGAGACGUCUGUCCUGUGGAGAGAAUGGGUGACACGGGUGUGGUAGGUAUUCCUGAUUCCAACAAAAGGGCAGCAUCCGGUCCAGAUCCCUUCCGACUUACCUGGGAGUCUUGAGAGUUGGAUGCCUGAGGAGAUUUGUGGCUGAGCCCUGGAAAUCAUUGGCCUGCCCCUUCUGUGGGGUCUACUCUGAGGAACCCUAUUCCAUAACGUACGCACCUUCUGUCCAAGGUGCCUGGGCUCCUCGGUGAUGCAGACUGACAAGAGGCUUUUCAUCCACUCCGGGUGCUUUCAGUUCUCACAGAAUAAGUAAGGCCAGGAAAACCUGGUAGCAGGAUGUUUGGCGGACCUUUUCAGAGAGUUGGACUCUGGAGUCGAGCACUGAGCAUGGGCCUUAGGUCGGCAGGUUUGUGUGUGACCGUGACAGAAAACCGGAAAAGACUCCUCUCUUCCUUUUACCUGCACUGUUUGAAGACCUCUGCUUGACAUCUUGCAAACAACUUAUGCUUCCCCUGCCUUCAGCAUUUGGCGAGAAAGCACCAGACAGGCCAUUCAUUUCUCGCCAGCAUCUUGACAUUUCUCAGAUACGCAAGAUCCGGAUCAACACGGCCCUCGGGAGGGUGGCUGAGACGAAGGUGCUCACGCCUGCGCCAAGCCCGUGCUGCUGUAUGCUCGGAUUUUAUGUGAAUGUGAACUUGGGUUCACUAACCACCACCGACUGUCUCACAUCCUCUGAGACAUGUGAGGUGUCAGAAGCGUAUGUCUGCUCGAGUCCGGUAGAGACUCCUGAGACAUUCCUCUCCACCGCUGGUGUCCUGGCUUCUCCACUUCACUUCUGGCCGCAACGAUUAGAAGAUGGAAACGGGAGGGAGGUAGAAAUGGGAUAUAGGUGCUUGCUUGGCAUCUGUCCAUUGUCAAGGAACAUUCCCUGUGUCUUCAGAGCUCAGAUUUAGUGUUGGGAGCCUCACAGGAGGAUGUGAAGUUGUGUUAUCCGAACCCAGGACUGUUCUCCACAUGCACUGAAAGUUACAGAAGGACGGAGCUGUGAAUUGCUGCUUUGGAAGGAAACCGAGAGCUAGCCUGUGGACAGUAUCCAGGAGGAAUCUGUGUAAAAUGCCAAUGAAAAUACUCCCAGUCAAAACAUGAGGUGUGUGGGCGAGCUGCGAACAAAGAAGACGUCAUCACAUUGAAGGCUCAACGUGCCAAGCGAGAAAGAUGACCGAUAGGCAGAUGAAGCACCCAACUGCACAGGCUAAAGGCGGACUCCGAAACAGAAGGCUUUCAAAGGGAAAGGAUUUGCAAAGACAAGAAGGAAGUCAGAUUUCAGAAAGAUCUGCUCCCCCAGUAGAGAACCUGGUAAGCAUUUGAUUCAAGAAACCGUGAAGUUAUCAAGGUUUCCAAGUUUAUAUCCGUGUGUUAAUGCUGGCAACAGACAACUUCCUCACGUGACGUUAUAGUCCCAAAGACCAAGUCAUAGUCUCAGAUGCCAACAUAACAAGAUCAGGAGCGGAAUUGCUCUUGUUUGGAAACCAGGUUUAUGGGAUGUUCACUAUUUUAAGAGCUUGGAGACCCAAGCCAGUUAGGGUGGUCCUGUUAUUUUUAAUUUAGCUCAGAAUGCAAAGUGCUUUACUUUUUUCCUUAUUGCCGUCUCUGAAGUGCUUAGUCGUGUUGGGAGUAGAGUCAUGUAUCAGUGUUGGCUUCCUGCUUCCCUCUUUUGGUCAAGUUCCUGCCAUUAAGAUGUGGAUUUGAUAGCAGGGUUGGCCUGUGGUGGUGGUGGUGAUUGUUGUUUUUAAAUUCAGUAUCAUUAAUUGUUUUUGUGUGUGUCCUUUGACUUAUUUGUAUAGGAGUAACUAGAGUUGUUUUCAUAGAAGAUCCUUUGAAUGGUUAUCAAAAAUGCAGUCACAUCAUAUGGAGGUCUAAAACUCUGCUUUUUGGGGGGAUUUUGUUCAGCCCGUAGCCUUAUAAUUGCCUUUCAUGUUCAGAAGUAUUUUACUUCCUUUAUCAGAUCUGUUGGGAUCGAGAACUGAGAAAUUAAUCUACUCUACCAGGUCACCCUGAAGUAACUAUGACUGUAAGGGUCCCCAUGGUAGACUGUUCCUGGCCUGCAAGCAACAAGCUCAAAAUAUGUAUAAGGGGAGGAUCUCAUCAGCCAUAGAGCAGACACCAGGCAACUUUUCCUGGGAGGAAUUUACGGAUACCUUUUCCACAUGUGAAUCAGCCCUGAAGAGUGGGUUUUUGAUGGGAUGUCUAGGUGGCUCAGUUGGUUAAGUGUCUGACUUUGGCUCAGGUCACGAACUAAUGGUUUGUGAGUUUGAGCCCCGCGUCAGGCUCUGUGCUGACAGCUCAGAGCCCGGAGCCUGCUUCGGAUUCUGUGUCUCCCUCUCUCUCUCUGCUUCUCCCCCACUCAUACUCUGUCUCUCUGUCUCUCUGUCUUUCUCUCUCUCUCAAAAAUAAAUAAACAUUUAAAAAAAAAGGUGGCCUUUUGAUACUUAAUUCCAGAAUAAUUAAACAUGUAAAUGUAUAAAGGUAAGACCUUUAAACAUUUAGAAAUAGAAGACUAUCUUAUCUUUGUGUACAGAAAAAGUGCUUAAGACACAAAAAGCUCAAAUCAGAAAGAUUGAUGUAUCUGCCUAUGUUAUAAAUUUUUAACGUUUGUUUAUUUUCUCGGGAAAGAGAGACAGAAUGUGAGUGGAGGAGGGGCAGAGAGAGAGGGAGACACAGAAUCUGAAGCAGUCUCCAGGCUCUGUGCCGUCAGCACAGAGCCUGAUGCAGGGCUCAAACCCACAAAGGAUGGGAUCAUGACCUGGGCUGAAGUCGGAGGCUUAACCGACUGAGCCACCCAGGUGCCCCUACAUCUGCCUAUAUUAUAGUUAAGAACUUCUGUUCAUCAAGCGAUGCCAACAAGGAAGUGCAAAAACAGUCUACAAACUGGGAGAAGAUAUCUGCAACACCUGUCGCUGGCAAAGAAGAUAGUAUUCAGAUUAAUACUCUGAAACAAACAAAAAAAGACAAACAACCGAUGGAAAAACCAUCCAAACAGGUGUUUCACAGGAAGACGAAACACAAAAGGAGAAUAAACAUGAAAAAUUGCUCAACUUCUUUAAGAGAGACAGUGGGGGGAGGGGCAGAGAGAAAGGGAGAGAGAGAAUCUCAAGCAGGUUCUACACUGUCAGCUCAGAGCCUGAUGUGGGGCUUGAUCCCUUGAACCGCGAGAUCAUGACCUGAGCCGAAAUCAAGAGUGGGACGGUUAACUGACUGAGCCACCCAGGCGCCCUAGGUGUCUGACUAUUGAUUAUGACUCAAGUCAUGAUCUCACAGGGUUUGGGGUUCCUGAGUUCGAGCCCCGCAUUGGGCUGUGUGCUGACAGCAUGGACCCUGCUUGGGAUUCUCUCUCUGCUCCUCCCUCACUUGUGCACACACACUCUGUCUCUCAAAAUAAACUUAAAAAAAGACUAUAACAAGAUAACACACAAAACCUACUAAAGUGGCUAAAAUUAAGAAUUCAUAAUCACAAGUCUCAGAGAUGAAUAGGAGCUCUACCAUACUGCUGGUGGGAUGAUAAAUAUACACGAGCACUUUCAUAAAUACUACACAAUUUGGUAAUAUCUUGGUAGUGGAACAUUCACAUACCCUGAAACCCAGCAGUUCCGCCUGUGUGUAUACCAUCAUGACUUUUGCACGUGUGCCUAGGGAGACAUCCAUAAGGACAUUCCACAGCAAGAGUAAAACUUCACCUUUCUACCUUGCUUUCUGAAAGCAUUCGAUAAACGCCGAGGUCUGCAUCUCUGCCCCAGAGCUGAAGUCACCUAGAAAGCUCAUUCUGCAUAAUUCCUUGAGGAAGUGCUUAAGAUUGAACAAAGGAAAUGUUCAUAAAACUACUCAUUCUUUUUUUAUUCCGGAUAAUUUUAAAUACCAUCCGACUAGCACGUCACCUCCAAUGAAAUAUCAACUGAAAAUAGGUGUUUCUUCUUCCUUUCUAGACUGUUUAAUAUUGUUCUCCUGUGCCAUUGUCUAGUUCCAAAAGCAGCAGCUUAGUGUGAAAUUUGUGGGAAGGAUGCUAUUCAGAGUUUAAUUUCAUUAUGCAGUAACCCAGUGAAAAUCCAGUAGAAAGAAUGUAGAUAUUUCUAGAAGAUGCUAAAAACUAUUCGAAAAAGGAGGAAUGCAUAGACGUAAUUUCUCUAAAAUAGAGCAUUCAAUCAUUAGAGUUGGAAAUUGAAUAAAUGAAAGGAUGAUUGAAUGAAUGGUUGAUUCAAAAUGCAUCAUUAGUAAAUGGGAAGAAUAGACUAUGUUGCUGGGUCCUAAAAAUAUUCCUCUAAGGAAUCAUUAGGAUUAUAUGGGAGACUUUAAAAAAAUAAUACCCAAGCCCCAGUUAAAUUGAAUCACAAUCUCUAACCUUCUUAGCCAUUAGUAUUUCUUAAAAGGACUUAGCCAUUAGUAUUUUGUAGAAGCUCCCAGGUAAUUCUAAACGAUAACAGCUUUGUGAACCACAGAGCCAUCGCCUGUACUCCAAGUGGGGUCCAAAGACAACAUCAUUGGGAUGUUGUUAGAAUUUGGAAUCUUGGCCCUGGCCCAGACAUACUGAAUCAGAGUCUACAGUUUGACAAAGUCCCCAGGUGAUGUCUAACAUAAAGUUUGAGAAGCUCUGGGUAAUCAGGAUUGCUUUCGUUUCUGCAUGCCAUUUUGCUACAUCUUCGAUCAAGAGGUUGGGGAAAGACUGGGGAAAGGUCUUUCUUUUUAAGAUUCUUGUUCCCACUUUAAUCUGGAGGCAACUCACAUCACCAUUUUGAUAAAUCUGAUCAUAAGGAAAUAAUCAGAUAAACAAGUACAUGAAAAGUGCUCAGCAUCACUCGUCAUCAGAUAAAUGCAAUCAAACCCAAAAUGAAAUAUCACCUUACACCAGUCAGAAUAGCUAGUAUCGAAAAGACAAGAAAUAACAAGUAUUGGCAAGAAUGUGGAGAAAAGGUAACCCUCGUGCACUGUUGGUGGGAGUAUAAAUUGGUGCAGCCACUGUGGAAAACGGUAUGGAGUUUCCUCGAAAAGAAAAGAAAAAAGAAAAGAAAAGAAAAGAA